rnacentral:rRNA from 1 species
UGUAAGCGUAUACCAAAGUUGUUGCAGUUAAAACGCUCGUAGUCGGAAUUUGGCAGUUCCGGAUGUGUGCACGUCGUGUGCGCACUUCGCGGGGAUUGCUUUUGUGGUCUUGCGUAGGAUGAGGCACUUUUAUUAGUGAACGUCCUCACGCAACCACUUUUUACUGUGAGAAAAUCAGAGUGCUCAAAGCAGGCAUUUGCCGUGAAUGUAUUAGCAUGGAAUAAUAGAAUAGGACUUGGUUCUAUUUUGUUGGUUUGUUGGGACUGAGUAAUGAUUAAGAGGGACAGUUGGGGGCAUUUGUAUUUCGGUGCUAGAGGUGGAAUUCUUAGAUUACCGAAAGACAAACUGCUGCGAAAGCGUCUGCCAAGGAUGUUUUCAUUGA